rnacentral:rRNA from 1 species
GUCCUUUUGAAUUUAAUUUAAGGUCUAACCUGCCCAAUGAAAAAUUUAAAUGGCCGCAGUAUUUUGACUGUGCAAAGGUAGCAUAAUCAUUAGUUUUUUAAUUAAAAGCUUGUAUGAAGGGUUGGACGAGAUAAAAACUGUCUUAGAUUAAUUAAUUAUAGAAUUUAAUUUUUAAGUUAAAAAGCUUAAAUGUAAUUAAAAGACGAGAAGACCCUAUAGAUCUUUAUAAUUUUAUUUUUAAUUAAAUUUUAGAAUUUUAUAUUAUUUAAAUUUAAAAUUAUUAUAUUGGGGUAAUAUAAAGAUUAAAAUAAUUCUUUAUUUAUUUUUACAUUAAUUUAUGAUUAUAUGAUCCAAUUUUAUUGAUUAUAAGAUUAAGUUACCUUAGGGAUAACAGCGUAAUUUUUUUAGAGAGUUCAUAUCGAUAAAAAAGUUUGCGACCUCGAUGUUGGAUUAAAAAUUAUCCUAGGUGUAAAAGUUUAGGAUUUUGGUCUGUUCGACCAUUAAAUUUUUACA